GAAGGUUUCCAAAUAAUCUUGCAGCUAUGGUUACCAUCUGCGAAACUAUUCAAGAAACACUACAAGAUGACUGCAAUCCUAGCUGCCCGUGCAAGGCAACAUUCAUUCAAGAAAAUACAUACAAAUCACACGUCACAAAAGAAACGUUCAAAAUAUCUAUGAGGGUGUUACUAAACAUCUUCGGAAUUUUGGUAGCAAUAGGAGCCUGUUACAUGAUAAUCAACACUGAUUCGAGAUUGUACCUCAUAUUUUGGGUUUGCUACUCUGUACUACGCAGAAUGAUGUUGAAGACGAAGAAACAUGUGAAGAUGGAUUAAUUGAAGGAUUUGAAGAUGUUUCUAAAAUUGUUUUAAAUAAUUUUAAUGGAAAGUCGCACUGAUAUUUAUUUUAGCGUUAGAUUAUUUAUUCCGAUCACUAAGCAUGCUCAGUACUCAGUAAAUUAUUGAAAUGUUGUUUUGAA